rnacentral:lncRNA from 1 species
UUCAUAAAGACAUGAUUAAUUUAUUGCUUUGUUUUGGCCAAGAAAAGUAGGGUCACGUAUUGGCUAGCUAAAGGGGACUUCACAUGUGCAGUACCAUCACCUGUCUGCUCUAGUGGGUUGUGAGACCAUGAGUUAUCUAGACUAUUGAUCUAGUGACAGCUUUUCCUUACCUGUCAGUAUAGUCCCACAGAUGGAAAGAAUGAGUCACUUGAAAACUAACUUGAAAACUACCUUCACUAAGAAAAUGUAUUUCAAGGCACAUAAUUCAAGGCACACUGCUAUGAGAUAUAACCAAGGCCUCAAAGGUUUAAAUAAAGCAUUUUUAAGCAUUUUCCUUGCUUAAGUCUUACAGAAAACCGUACCUUUAAGUAUUCACCAAACAUACCUAGUUCCUCAACAUAUGGUUUAUAAGGAUGUAAUCCAUUGGCAUGUAGCCAACAGCUGUGUGCUGUGGUUUCAUUCACUGGCAUUAAUUUCCAGUGCUAUAGCCAAUCCUGGUGUAUACCCAUUUGACACUGAGGAGCUGGACCUUCUUUUCUCCUCUGCAGUCCCAUGAUCAAUCAUAUUUUUUCCCUGUUCAUAAACUUGCCUGCCUAUAAAGAGUCAUUAUUACCUUUCCAGUCAAGGUAUGUGAGGCUUGACUUCAGCGAUGCCCAUAAAGCUCCAUGAGGCACAGAAAUGACUGUUACUGUGAUAGUUCAAUGUGGGAUCAGUUUGUUGUUGGUGUUUUUGUUUUUUUUUCUUAAUCUCUCUUGGAUUGGUUUAACUGAUAGUUUUUUGUUGUUGUUUGUUUGUUUGUUUUUCCUAAUAACUACUGGGUUGAGAAUUUCUUUUUCCUAAUAACUACUGGGUUGAGAAUUUCUUUUCUUCACUUAAGUAACACCUGAUAAGUACUGCUCACGUUAGUGGAUUUUUCUGUUCUCUCCCUGCCAGGGUCCCCGUGGUGUACCUGGUAUCCCUGGACCACAGGGGCCUCCUGGCCAGGAUGGUCUACCUGGAAAUCCAGGGGAAAGAGGACCUCCUGGAAAACCAGUACGUAACUUCAUUUCUAUGUUACAUCCCCAAAAGAUGUCCCACUGUUGUUCUGUUCUCUGUUUUAUCUCAGUUUGCACCUGUAUAUGUCACCUCAAGUCCAAUUCAGUGCUUUUUCCUUGAUGCUCUUAGGAAAAAUACUAAAAACCAUUAA